rnacentral:rRNA from 1 species
AACGAACGCUGGCGGCAUGCCUAACACAUGCAAGUCGAACGAGACCUUCGGGUCUAGUGGCGCACGGGUGCGUAACGCGUGGGAACCUGCCCUUAGGUUCGGAAUAACUCCCCGAAAGGGGUGCUAAUACCGGAUAAUGUCUUCGGACCAAAGAUUUAUCGCCUUUGGAUGGGCCCGCGUUGGAUUAGCUAGUUGGUAGGGUAAAAGCCUACCAAGGCGACGAUCCAUAGCUGGUCUGAGAGGAUGAUCAGCCACACUGGGACUGAGACACGGCCCAGACUCCUCCGGGAGGCGGCGGUGGGGAAUUUUGGACAAUGGGCAAAGGCCUGACCCAGCAAUGCCGGGGGAGUGAUGAAGGCCUUAGGUUUUUAAAGCUCUUUUACCCGGGAUGAUAAUGACAGUACCGGGAGAAUAAGCCCCGGCUACCCCCGU